UUUUACCUCAUAGCGGAAGGUCAGGUUGGAUCGAGUGAUGUUCGAAACAGCAGGAGGUCGGGUUGGGCCGAAUUAUGUUUGAAGUGGCGCAAGGUUGAUUAGUGCUAAGUCACAAUCGAGACCUGUGAGUACUGUAUCUUUACGCUUUAAAUAAAUUAGUUGCAUCUUUCUAAUCGUUCGAAUUUUUGGGAUUAAUGGUUAGUACCAACGAUCCGACGCAUAGAUACAUAGAAACACCGGAUUCAAUGG
rnacentral:lncRNA from 1 species